rnacentral:rRNA from 1 species
CCUACGGGAUGCACCAGUGGGGAAUAUUGCACAAUGGGCGCAAGCCUGAUGCAGCCAUGCCGCGUGUAUGAAGAAGGCCUUCGGGUUGUAAAGUACUUUCAGCGGGGAGGAAGGUGUUGUGGUUAAUAAUCGCAGCAAUUGGCGUUACCCGCAGAAGAAGCACCGGCUAACUCCGUGCCAGCAGCCGCGGUAAUACGGAGGGUGCAAGCGUUAGUCGGAAUUACUGGGCGUAAAGCGCACGCAGGCGGUCUGUCAAGUCGGAUGUGAAAUCCCCGGGCUCAACCUGGGAACUGCAUUCGAAACUGGCAGGCUAGAGUCUUGUAGAGGGGGGUAGAAUUCCAGGUGUAGCGGUGAAAUGCGUAGAGAUCUGGAGGAAUACCGGUGGCGAAGGCGGCCCCCUGGACAAAGACUGACGCUCAGGUGCGAAAGCGUGGGGAGCAAACAGGAUUAGAUACCCGGUAGUC